rnacentral:pre_miRNA from 1 species
AUUCUACUCCCUCCGUUGCACAAUACAUGCCUUCUAUUUGUCAAAAUAUAUGUGUAUCUAGACAUGUUUUAGUACAUAGGCACAUCCAUUUUUGGACAAAUGUAAGUCAAGUAUUUUGGAAUGGAGGGAGUACACA